AACCAAGAAAUUUAGUCAUUCUUUUAUGGUAAAAAGACAGUUAGGCAAUGAGAAAGACAGGAUUAUUAGAUCUUUAGUAGAGGAGUAAAACCUAUAUACUGAAAGUUAUUCCUAAAAUAAUUUGUUUGAGAAUGUUGAAUCUGUGAUAGCUUUAAGGGAAACUGGGAUUGGAUACCCCAUUAUUUUUAGUCGUAAAUUUAGUUUAGGCUUACCGGAGUACUACGAAUAAAAAGUUUAAAACUCAAAGGGCUUGGCGGUGUUUUAGACCCCUCAGGGGAACCUGUCUCAUAAUCGACAAUCCACGUUAAACCUAACCUUUUAUAGUAAUACAGCUUGUAUACCGUCGUCGUCAGGUAACUUCUUAAAAUAAAGUAGUUAGCUUGAGAAUUUGAUUAAUUAGAACGUCAGAUCAAGGUGCAGCUAAUGAAAGGGUGAGGAUGGGUUACAAUUACAUAUUUGUAAAUACGGAAAACACUUGAAAUUAAGUGGUUAAAGGAGGACUUGAAAGUAAUUCUAUUUAUAUAAAUAGAAUGAAUAAGGCUCUGAAACGUGC
rnacentral:rRNA from 1 species